GUAUUUAUUGCUCAGUGGUAGAGUGCAUGCCUAGCGUGCACGAGGUCCUAGGUUCAAUCCCCAGUACCUCCA
rnacentral:tRNA from 1 species